AAUGCACUGGAGCAAUUCGGCAAGGUUUCUCAAAGAGCAAUGUCCAAACUCUCAACCUGCGUCAUACAGAGGCAACAGACAGCCAACUCCAAGUCACACACAUGGCAUCAACUGUUUUUUUUGUUUCCUUACUCUCGCUGGAUUAAAUUCCUUCCUGCUGAACACGACACGUGCUGCAGUCUUACAAAAGGCUGCCUCACCACCAUCCAAGGGGCAAUUAAGGGAUGGGCAAUAAGUGACAGCCUGUGCCCACCACCUGUGAAUGAAUUCCAUGAAGGGGAGGAAUUAAAAAAAAAAAUGUUUUUCAAAAGGAAUGGAACAGUGGCCACAAAUUGUCUGUGGGAACAAUACAAGAAGUAAAUCGUGGUGUUUGAUGCCUUAAUUAGUGUUCUAACAUGGAGGGUGCGGACUGUUUAGGAAACAAAGUAGACACUGUUACACAUCCAACGCCACAGACGGAUUACUCAAAUUAUUGGAAAAUUAGGUCACAGCAACUGCAGAGGCUGCCAGAUCUGAUUUCCUGCUCCUCUCGGCUCAUGGUCUCGCCCACUGCAGGUGAAGGGAGAAAGCUGGUCACCCUCCAGGAUAAAGAGAAAUUACAAAGAGAGGGAGGCCCUGGCUGGGGAAUACCUGAACAAUCGAGCAUCAGGAGACCACAGCUCCAGACUAUGGGCGGUUCCAAGAAUAAACUCGACCUGCCCUCCAGCUUCCUGCAGCACCUGCACUGCUUUCAAAACAAAUACAGAUACAGCGUCAGCAACAGAGUGAGAGCACUCUCGGGGGUUCCAAAGCCUGGUCCGAUGUGAUACUUGCUCUAUGAAGUUUGACUGUCUCGGUCUAUUCUUUUACAAGAUACAGGUGAAAUUCCUGGAGCUCCCUCCCCGAGAGCAUUGCGGAUGUCUCCACACCAAAUGGACUGGAGCAGUUCAAGAACGCAGCUCUCCCCCACCUUGUCAAGGGUGACUAGGGAUGGCCAAUAAAUUCAGGCUAGCCAGUGAUGCCUACAUCUAUAAAUGAAUAAAGAAAAUAAGAUGGUAGAAUGGCUACUUCACCAAGCUAGAACAACAUCACAGUGAUGCACUUUAACAAUAUCAGAGAGACAAGUGCAUCAGUGCUGUAAGAUGGAACAAACAGAAGUAUAUUAAGAAGGUCAAUGAAUGGUAACAGACCAGAGUUGAUAUUGAUAUUAUGGUAGUGGUGAGAGCAUUGGAUGAACUACUUACCAAGGGAAGACCAGAAGCUCUGGUUUCAAGGUCUAGGAUCAUUUAACUCCACCAGCUGAGGGUAGCAGGUAAGUGGCAGACCAGCGAUACAGCAAUGCUUGAAAGCUCACAGGUUGCAGCACCAUCUAAAAACACUGCAUUAUUUGGUUUCUGCACACACCCACCAUCAGCACACAUCUCCAAGGGACUGUUGCACAUGUAGAAUUGGCUAUCUGCUAGACCAGCAAGAGGAGGUAGCAAAGGCAGUGACCACACUGCAGAUAGUGAACCUUGAAGUCACAUGAACGGCAGCUGCAACUCCAGCUGACGUUUCAAACAUGGAAGAUCUGUCAAGUUUCCAAAGGCAGCGAAGCCCACGUGCAAACAAUGGAGCACUGCAGGCAGGACUGACUGGCUACCCCUUUCAACUUGUGAUUGUAUGGAUCACACAGUAGGCAGCAGGCCAGAAUGAGCCAGGGCCAUGGAAUCAAACCAGGGUCAGUCUCACCCACCAGAGCAAGAAAGGCUGCUUCCUUCAUCCACACUAACGCAAAACAGGAGGAGAACGCUGCAAAGAGGUUAUAGUCAGAAUGUACUCAGAUUCAUGGACUAGUAAUGGGGAGCAAGGCAGGUCACUGGAUAAUAUUCAGACCGCACAAUAGUUAACAUUAGUCAGAUGUUAGAUCCACUGAAUGGAGGGUCUGUAAAUGUGAGGGAUCCAUGAGCAGCUUUUUGACGAAGGCCUUUGUGCACACAACGGUCAUGGCGAGGCAGUGACACUGAAGCUCUCCGAGGUGGGAACAGGUCAUCCAGCACUGAAUGUUGAAGACGUUGUCUGAUUAUUUAGCAAUGAUGGAGAAUUCGAUAGAGGUGGUGACAAAGUAGAGCUGCU